CGCGCUUGCGCACUUUCGCACUUGCUCCCGCGCAGCCCGGCGCGCAAGGCCCGCGGUCCCCAUGGCAACCGAUGAUUGCAAGGGGCCUGCGCGUGGGCUUCGUAAUUGGGCUGGGGGAGCCGGGCGGAAGUUUACUGCUCAGCUGUUGACCAAUCCAGGCGUGUUCUCUGAUUGUCCCUCCGCGUGCAGCCUUUCCACCCUGCUCUAUGUGUUUAUUUUGUCUUCUUGUGUAUUUCAUUUGAGAACGCACAGAAUUUCCAUGCAUACUGAACACACAGAAGAUUGGGGGUGCUCUGGGCUCCCACCCAGCUCUCCUCUGCCAAGUAAGUUGUAAUGACCCGCCAUGUUGGCCCUGUGACUUAUCUGGUUUGUGCUGGGAGAGCUCCUUCUGGCUUCAGACUUCCUUUAGUUUGUACUUCUAAAGGUCACAUGACAUGGCUUUCCCCCUCGUCACUCACCCCCAGACUGCCAGCCUCAACAUCUGGUGUGAGGAGUUCCCAUUGUCGCCCAGCGGGUCUCGAACCCGACUAGUAUCCAUGAGGUUGCAGGUGCAUUCCAUGGCCUUGCUCCCCAUGGGGUAAAAGUGCUGCUGUGAGCUAUGGUGUAGGUGGCAGACGAGGCUUGGAUCUAAUGUUGCUGUGGCCGUGGCGUAGGCCGGCAGCUACAGCUCUGAUUGGACUCCUAGCCUGGGAGCCUCCGUGUUCUGCACGUGUGGUCCUGAAAAGCAAAAAAACAACAAUCAAAAACAUCUGGUGUGAGUUGGCACAUAUAUUUCUCCAUCUCACAUAAUCAUUAAAAAAUACAGAUUAUUUCCAAAUUCCUUUAGUUAUUUAUAUUUUUAAAAAAAUAUUGUUAAAAUACUUCAGAAAAAAAAGAGGAUGGGAGGAUAGAUGACACAAGAUUGGCCAUGAGGUGACCCAGAAAAAAAAUUAUUACCUACAGAGGUCAUUAUAUUCUUUUUUUCUGCUGUUGUUUACAGUUUUAAAUUUCCGUAAGAAAAAAAAAUUUUUUUUUAAAUGCCUUUUGCCUUUGGUCUUUUCUUUUUUUUUUUUUUUUUGUUGUUGUUGUUGUUGUUGUUGUUGUUGUUGUUAUUGUUGCUAUCUCUUGGUUCUUGGGCCGCU
rnacentral:lncRNA from 1 species